UGAAUCAUAUCAAACAAUUACCCUGUUUUCCCAUAGAGGAGGAUGGAGAGCUGUGAUGGCAGAGGCGACAAAGUCUCAAUCCCUGCAGACCAUGAGAGCGUUUUCUGGCCGCAACUUCAGACACUGUGUGAUCUGCCCAUCCCGUCGCGUGAGAGAACACAGACACGUCUGUCAGCCGUCCAAGUCCUGAUUUUCCUGUUGGAUUGUCCAGUUCCCACUGCACCGCAGUCCACGUCACUCCACUGUUGUCCAGGGCAGGCUGCAGACAGACAUGCUACCUCCAGUUGCUUCAUUUCACCUGCCACUGAUGAGCUUUGGAGAUGUGAUUCACACUAUACCACCUAUUUCAUACCAACCAGUAUGUGAAGCAACCAUAGAUUGUUAAUAUACAGUCUAUGGUAGCAACACAGACAAAGUCCCACACCGGCUUCCUACCUGCAAACAUGGCCAACUGUGUUCGUUGGAACACACAACCAAGCCGAAGGUACCGUUACUGGGAACCAAUCCCAGAAUCUUUAUGGUGGAGGGACAGAGCUUUACCCCCAUGCACCCAGGAUUUUUGUUAUCAACAAAUCCUGUGAAGAGACUAAAACCAGCAAUGAAUUUAGUAUAGUCUGUGAAUCCACAGUCAUGUAAUGUUUCUUACACAGAACUCCAGUUAUCCAAAAAAUCCUAAAAACACAUGGAGCCAUCCUGUUGUCACAUAUUACUUUGUUGUGAUGAGCAUGGCCAGUGUAGUUUAUUCUUCUUAGUUCAUUAAUCUAGCAAAGCAUCAUUGAACAUGAGUGUGUUUACACUAAGUGUCUAAAACAACUCUGCGUCAGCAUUUUUUUAAUGUGUGAGUAUCUUAGUGUUGGGCAGAGUCCUGUCAGAAACUGGAUUUCUGUGGCACAAAGGCAUAAGCUAUAACACUCCAUCACUACACAGAUUUCACUUUUUUGCAAUAUAUAUGAAUAGUUGAUUUUGAUCUCUUCAGCCUAAGUGUUGAUAAAACUGUCAUUAACUGAGACACUUUCCACAA